GCUAACUAUAAGUAUAAAGUAUUUUACUUCACGAAAAAUAGUGAGCUAAUUAAGUCCAUAUGGUCGUUUGUAACUUUGCAUGUAACAUAAUGCAGUAAACAGAGGUAAUUAGUGGUGAUAUUCCUUUCACACUGUUUAAUAUCUUGAUUCUCAAAAAAUAUAUUAAGUAUUGAGUCAACUUUAAAAUGUUAAGAUUUUAAAGACCCAUCAAUUAUGUAUUUACAUAUGUGGUACCUUUAACGGGGCCUACACUGGUUAUCUAAUUAUAUACUUCACUCUCUUGUGGUUUCUAUUGGGAUGUGGCAAGAACAUAAUCUGCAUAUUAUGAAUGUUAUCAUUAGUACUUUUAUUAAAAUAUGUAAAGGAACUCGGCAAACUUACUGUUCACCUGUUUACCAAAAACAUAGCCAACUGAAUAGUAUAUUUGGUGCCCCCUGCUCAAUGACAAUGUUAAAUAGCCGCAGUACCCUGACUGUGCAAAGGUAGCAUAAUCAGUUGGCUUAUAAUUGAAGUCUGGCAUGAAUGGGGUAAUGGAUAGUGGCUGUCUCUAAAUAAUAAAGGAAUUUACUUAGUAAGUGCAAAUUCUUGCAGAUAAAUAAUAGACGAGAAGACCCUAGAAAUUUUUUAUAUAUGUACUAUAUAUGCACUUUAUUUUGCUGGGGCGGCAGAGUAACAUUAAACUUGCUUUAUUAUUAUUAGAAUUAUAUAUAAGUAAAAUUAAAUUACUCUAGGGAUAACAGCGUAAUUCUGUAGAGUUUGCGACCUCGAUGUUGGACUAAGGACACACGUGCUUAGAAGGCACUUGUUUUGGCUCUGUUCGAGCUUUUAUCCUUACAUGAUCUGAGUUCAGACCGG
rnacentral:rRNA from 1 species